rnacentral:rRNA from 1 species
CCUACGGGAGGCAGCAGUGGGGAAUAUUGCGCAAUGGGCGAAAGCCUGACGCAGCGACGCCGCGUGAGGGAUGAAGGUCUUCGGAUCGUAAACCUCUGUCAGCAGGGAAGAACGGUCACUGUGCUAAUCAGCCGUGAAUUGACGGUACCUGCAAAGGAAGCACCGGCUAACUCCGUGCCAGCAGCCGCGGUAAUACGGAGGUUGCAAGCGUUAACCGGAAUUACUGGGCGUAAAGCGCUCGUAGGCGGUUUGUCAAGUCAAGGGUGAAAGCCCCGGGCUCAACGUGGGAACGGCCUUUGAAACUGGGAGACUGGAGUGUGUGAGAGGAUAGUGGAAUUCCAGGUGUAGGGGUGAAAUCCGUAGAUAUCUGGAGGAACAUCAGUGGCGAAGGCGACUAUCUGGCACAUAACUGACGCUGAGGAGCGAAAGCGUGGGUAGCAAACAGGAUUAGAUACCCGAGUAGUC